GUUGAAGAACGUAGCGAAAUGCGAUAAGUAAUGUGAAUUGCAGAAUUCAGUGAAUCAUCGAGUCUUUGAACGCACAUUGCGCCCCCUGGUAUUCCGGGGGGCAUGCCUGUCCGAGCGUCAUUGCCGCCCUCAGGCACGGCUUGUGUGUUGGGCCCCCGCCCCCCGGCUUCGGGGGGCGGGCCCGAAAGGCAGCGGCGGCACCGCGUCCGGUCCUCGAGCGUAUGGGGCUUCGUCACCCGCUCUGUAGGCCCGGCCGGCGCCCGCCGGCGACCCCAAUCAAUCUUUCCAGGUUGACCUCGGAUCAGGUAGGGAUACCCGCUGAACUUAAGCAUAUCAAUAAGCGGAGGA
rnacentral:misc_RNA from 1 species